UACGUAGGGGGCAAGCGUUGUCCGGAUUUAUUGGGCGUAAAGAGCGUGUAGGCGGCUAGAUAGGUCCGUUGUGAAAACUCGAGGCUCAACCUCGAGACGCCGGUGGAAACCAGCUAGCUAGAGUCCGGAAGAGGAGAGUGGAAUUCCUGGUGUAGCGGUGAAAUGCGCAGAUAUCAGGAAGAACACCGGUGGCGAAGGCGGCUCGCUGGGCCAGUUCUGACACUCAUCCGCGAAAGCGUGGGGAGCGAACAGG
rnacentral:rRNA from 1 species